GAGAACAGAGCAACAAGUGCGUCAGUACACUUCAGCAGCCAGUCUCUCACUGUUUACAACAGGUAUGAUAGCAGAUAAGGAUGCAGUCAGGGUUCAUGCAGGAGACCAAAGGGAGGAGAGUGCAAGUUCAGAGAUAAGGGCAGAGUCAGCAUACAUAGAUGCAGCUGCCAGUGAUGCUGCUGACCAGAGUGAGGACAGUGCAAGUGCAAGUGCAGGUACCUGUAGGCUAUGUGAGGAGUAUCUAUACCAAUAUCUCUAGUCCAGAAUUGUAUAAUAUUCAGCAGUGUAUCCCAGUAUACAUCCUUGCCAGUGCCCAUUAAAAUACAGGUGGCUCAGGGUCAGGGAGCACAGGGAACCUGUUAGGAAAGAAUGAUUUAGGGACACGAGAAACAGGCCCAAAGCAGCCCAGACGGGACCAGUACCCCUCCACUAGUUUUUGAAAGCAGCAACGGUCUUUCCAGUACAAAUGGUUUGAAUCUUUUGACUGGCUGGAGUAUUCUUUGAGCAGAAACUCUUCACACUGUUUCUCAUGCAAGCUCUUUGGGAAACACAACCCUAGAGCCAGCAAAGAUGCCCUCCUCAGCACUGAGGGCUUUAAUAACUGGAAAAGGGCCUUGGAUAGUGCUGUCCACAAGUCAUCUAUCCUGGCCUGGAAGAAUUACAGAGCUACGCUAACAGAAGGCGAUGUUGUCGACCAAAUGAAUGUUGGAAAUUCCAGUCAGAUUAGUGGGGACUAAUCUGACUGGAAUACCUGCGGCGCAUUGUGGCCGUCACUAGCCUUUUAGGGAAACAAGGCAUUGCUUUCCGUGGUCAUGAUGAAACCAGCUCCUCCCUGAAUCAGGGAAACUUUUUAGAAGUAAUGAAGCUCCUUGAAACCUUUGACCCCUUCCUCCAGAACUGCCUCGCAGAACAGCAUGAUCGAAUGUUGUGCUGAUGAAGUGACUGCAACCAUCGUAGAAGAGAUCAAGGCAUCGAAAAUGUAUGCAGUGAUGGCUGAUGAGGCAAGAGAUGGCCACGUUGAACAGCUUGCUGUUUGUGUGCGCUAUGUUACAGCUGACGGCGGAGUCAAAGAGCGUCUCCUUGAACUUGUCACCCUUAAGGGAUUGAAUGCACAGUGCAUCACUGACGCAAUUGAAAAUGUAUUGGAGUCGAAUGGCCUUAAUGAUCUCCUGUGUGUCGCUC
ensembl:lncRNA